rnacentral:ncRNA from 2 species
CAAGACCACUGGAAGUGCCUUUUGAAAAAGGCUGAGAUCGAAGUAGUGACUUCGGGAUUCCGGAACCUGAUCCAGAUCAUGCUGGCGUAGGAAAGUGGCGUGGAGAUACA